CAAAGUCUGUGAAAACUAUGCAGAGCGAAAUGACAGGUGACUUGUGGUGAGAAAAUUAUUUUGAAAAUUACGACUGCUUUAAUUGAGCUAUUUGGGAUCAGCUGAGUGAUCAGUUUAUCCAUUUUUCAUUUGUUCUACCCGCAGCAGCCUGCUUACCAAUCAGGAGGACUAAAGAUCAAUGGGCAGUCUCCUUGCUGCUGCCCAUUUUCACUCACUGCAGCCAUGCUAAUUUGGUUAACAUGGAAGCACAUGACCGGGUUGCCCCCAGUUGUUAUUCCUUUGGCUUGCCUGAGCUCCAAGCGGUAACUGGACAGAUAAUCUUGAACCACAAGAGAGUAAAGCAUCAUAACUUGUCCUUGAACCCAACACCCUAUCAUCACUCUUCAACCUACGUUCAAACUACACCACACACGCCACAAAUACAUUAUUUAAAGGUA